GACGAACGCUGGCGGCGUGCCUAAUACAUGCAAGUCGAGCGAAUCAAUAGGAGCUUGCUCCUGUUGGUUAGCGGCGGACGGGUGAGUAACACGUGGGCAACCUGCCUGUAAGACUGGGAUAACACCGGGAAACCGGUGCUAAUACCGGAUAAUCCUUUUCCUCUCAUGAGGAAAAGUUGAAAGUCGGUUUCGGCUGACACUUACAGAUGGGCCCGCGGCGCAUUAGCUAGUUGGUGAGGUAACGGCUCACCAAGGCGACGAUGCGUCGCGGACCUGAGAGGGUGAUCGGCCACGCUGGGACUGGGACACGGCCCAGACUCCUACGGGAGGGAGCAGUAGGGAAUCUUCCACAAUGGACGAAAGUCUGAUGGAGCAACGCCGCGUGAGCGAUGAAGGCCUUCGGGUCGUAAAGCUCUGUUGUUAGGGAAGAACAAGUAUCGGAGUAACUGCCGGUACCUUGACGGUACCUAACCAGAAAGCCACGGCUAACUACGUGCCAGCCGCCGCCGUAA
rnacentral:rRNA from 1 species